rnacentral:rRNA from 1 species
GAACGCGAAGAACCUUACCAAAUCUUGACAUACCUAUGACAGGCAAGUAAUGUUGCCCUUCCUUCGGGACAUAGGAUACAGGUGGUGCAUGGUUGUCGUCAGCUCGUGUCGUGAGAUGUUGGGUUAAGUCCCGCAACGAGCGCAACCCUUGUCCUUAGUAGCCAGCAGUAAGAUGGGCACUCUAGGGAGACUGCCAGGGAUAACCUGGAGGAAGGUGGGGAUGACGUCAAAUCAUCAUGCCCCUUAUGAUUUGGGCUACACACGUGCUACAAUGGCGUAAACAAAGAGAAGCGAGCCUGCGAGGGGGAGCAAAUCUCAAAAAUAACGUCUCAGUUCGGAUUGUAGGCUGCAACUCGCCUACAUGAAGCUGGAAUCGCUAGUAAUCGCGAAUCAGAAUGUCGCGGUGAAUACGUUCCCGGGUCUUGUACACACC